GUCUACAGCAAUGUCACCCUGAACAAACCCGAUUCCGUCUGAUCUUGGAAGCUAAGGAGAGUCAGGCAUGGUCAGUACGUGGAUGGGAGACCACCUAGGAAGACCAGGUGCUGUAAGCG
rnacentral:rRNA from 1 species